rnacentral:rRNA from 1 species
UACGGGGGGAGCAAGCGUUGUUCGGAUUUACUGGGCGUAAAGCGCACGUAGGCGGAUCGUUAAGUCGAGGGUGAAAUCCUGGAGCUCAACUCCAGAACUGCCUUCGAUACUGGCGAUCUCGAGUCCGGAAGAGGUGAGUGGAACUCCUAGUGUAGAGGUGGAAUUCGUAGAUAUUAGGAAGAACACCAGUGGCGAAGGCGGCUCACUGGUCCGGUACUGACGCUGAGGUGCGAAAGCGUGGGGAGCAAACAGG